rnacentral:rRNA from 1 species
GAUGAACGCUAGCGGCAGGCUUAAUACAUGCAAGUCGAACGGUAGGUUUGGUAGCAAUAUCAAACCAAGAGUGACGUACGGGUGCGUAACACGUAUGCAACCUACCUUGUACAGGAGUAUAGCUCGGGGAACGUACGAUUAACCUCCAUGAGAUCAUAGAAUGGCAUCAUUUAGUGUAUUAAAACUACAAGGUGGUACGAAGAUGGGCAUGCGUCUGAUUAGAGUUUGGGCGGGGUAAGUCGGACCCACCAACGAACG